rnacentral:tRNA from 1 species
GCCCCAGUGGCCUAAUGGACAAGGCACUGGCCUCCUAAGCCAGGGAUUGUGGGGUUCGAGUCCCAUCUGGGGUG